rnacentral:rRNA from 1 species
UACGCACGGGGCUAGCGUUGCUCGGAAUCACUGGGCGUAAAGCGCACGUAGGCGGCUUCUUAAGUCAGGGGUGAAAUCCUGGGGCUCAACCCCAGAACUGCCCUUGAUACUGAGGAGCUUGAGUCCGGGAGAGGUGAGUGGAACUCCGAGUGUAGAGGUGAAAUUCGUAGAUAUUCGGGAGAACACCAGUGGCGAAGGCGGCUCACGGGCCCGGUACUGACUCUGAGGUGCGAAAGCGUGGGGAGCAAACAGG